rnacentral:lncRNA from 1 species
CUGGUUUAUUAUAAAGGAUAUUACAAAGGAUACAGAUGAACAGCCAGAUAGAAGAGACGCAUAGGAGCAAGGUGUGUAUGCAGGGGCAUGGAACUCCCAUGCCCUCUCCAGGCACUCUAGCUUCUGGAAACCUUUGUUAAUCUCUCUGGAAGCUCUCUAAGUCCUCUCCUUUUGGUUUUUUAUGGAAGCUUCUUCACGUAGACACGAUUGAUUAAAUCCCUGCCCAUGGGUGAUCAGCCCCUCUCCCCUCUCCAGAGGUUAGGGAGUGGGGCUGAAAAGUCCUAACCCUCUAAUCCUGCCUUGGUCUUCUCUGCUAGCACCUCCCAUCCCCACCAGUCAAUCUACUAGCAUAACCAAAAGGCACUCAUCUCUUUGAAGAUUGCAAUGAUUUUAGGAGUUGUAUGCCAAGAAAGGGAAACCAGAACAAAGACCAAAUAUAUAUUUCACAGUACCACAACAUGUAAAGAAAUUAUGACACUGCCCAUCAACAGAAUAGAUAAAUGCAUUGUGUAUAUUCAUACAAUGACUUACACAGCAAUAAACAUGAAUGGACUAGAACUAUAUGCAACAACAUGGGUGAAUCUUUCAAACAUAACAAGUGAAAGAAGAAAACAAUAAUAACAGAUUACAAUUCUAUCAUAUAAAGUUCAAAAAUAGGAAAAUUAAACUAUUUUUAAUGAUGCAAACACAGGUAGUUAGAAUCUAAGGGAAAACAAUAAAGUGAUUUCAGUUAAAGGCAAGAUAGUAGUUGUCUCCAGGGAAAAGGAAGGAGGGAGGAGGGAAAUACGGGGAGCUUCUGAGGUCUUGGCAAUGUCUUCUUUUUUGUCCAGAGUGGUAGUUACAUGGGUGCUCAAAUUGCUCUGAUUCUUUAUGCUGUGUCUUCUGACCUCUGGUUCUUUCAUUGCUAACCAAGAUCAGAGAAUGAGAUUCUUUCCUUCAAAGUUAUGAAGGAAACAUCUCUGAAUUUACUAAAAUUCAGCAUCAGCGAGGGGGAGAAAUAGCUGAUACAGCUUGCUAAAUUUCUGCUCUUUAAACUAAUUAGUUAAAUAAAAAUGUGUCUGAGUUGGGGGAAGUGAUGGAGGAGAGAAAGCAAAGGCCAGAUAAGCAGGGGUCACAGAUUCAGCCCCCAAUAUAUGUAGCUUCUGUUAAGUGCUACACACUGAUCUGGACAUUGAAAUAGAGUAAGAAGUGAUCACAUCUGGCCUUAAGGAACUCACAGUGCAAGGUAUGUGGCAGGAUAGCAGUGAAAUCAGUCAUUUCUGGGAGAUGAGAGAAAGAUUUGAGGCCAGAGAAGAAGAAAAAAAAAAGAAACGAGGGUAUUUUUUCUCUGACCCGCUAUUUAUAUUCUACCCCUAUUCAGCAGCAGUUAGAAACUAUCUGGUAUUCAGAAGGAAAGAACUGCUUCUUCCUUCCUUGCAGGCUUAAGUUCAAGCAAAUGUCAGUGCAUCUAGUGCCCUUGCCUAGGAAAUAACAAGAUUGCAAGUCCACAGGAACAACUGGGUUCUCCCGGGUCAAAAGGAGAUGAUGAGAGUGGAGGUCAAGAAUUCUUCAUGUUAAAAGAUAUUCUAGCAUUAAAUUCAGAAGCUAAAGUGCUUAUUUGCAAUUAUUGUUAAUUAAAACAACAACAGUAACAGCAAUAAUAAGGAUGACUCUGAAAUUUACUGAGGAAACAAAGAUACCAGAUGUUUAAAGUGCAUUAUUUUAUUUUGUUGUAUAAUAUAAUAGGUAGUAUUUUGAUAUUGUUAAAAUUCCAAAGGGGAAAUGGAGAAACAGAAGUUAACUUACUGGACCAAGGGCACACAGCUGGUUGGUGGCAGAGUUUGUGUUAGAACCAGAUCUGCCUGACUCCUAAGCACCAUACUAGGAGGUAUCACAUGCAUAUACUGUUGUGAUAUAGGUCCAGCCUCCAAGAGGGGCCCUUAGCCAUUUGGUACUGCUCUGCUUACUCCAGAAGCAUUGACUUUGAGGGUAAGGGAAUCUCCAGGCCAAGAAAUGCAGGAUGGCAAGCAAGAAUUGGAAUAAUGUUGAAUUGUUUUUGUGACUUUUCUCUAACAGUGCUCAUGGUUCUUGGAGGGAUGACCAGGCAUCCUGAGGUCCUGGUGAUAGGUGACUGUAUUCCUGAUGAGUGAGUUGCUAAUAGAACAUGCCAAGAAAUAAUAAGCUAAUCCAUGCUACUGCCAGCAUAGAAAGCUGGUGGGCUUUUAAUUACCUGUGUUCACAGAACAAAAGGAAGCUACAGUGUGUUUGAAUUCCUUGAAUCCAUUCUGUCAGAGUGUGGGGAAAGGAGCUGAAAAUAUUCUAACCAGCAGGGAAGGAUGCACCAAAAUCCAUGCCAACUAAUGGACAAAGGAGGGAGGCAAUGGAAAGCCUGACUCUGUUGGAAGAUGUGAAAGGACUGUGUCAGCAUCUGUGCCAACCAGCAUGACUGGCUCCCUAGGUGUCAGUGAUUAACCUAAAGCCACAGCCUAUUUGCAGAGACAAGCCUCCCUGGGCUCAUUUUUGCCAACUUGAAUAUAACCUAGUCCUUCUUCUUCUUCCACUCUUCUUCCUGACCUGGCCUCCUUUUUAUCUUAAUUUCCUGCCUUUCCCUCUGUCUUGUUCUCAGGGUCUUAUAACCUUCUGUUCAAUGCUCAGUGCUCCUCACCUCUAUCUUUCUCUAGAGGUAAAAUUGGGACCACUUUCUCAUCAAGAUCAAUCCCAUUAUCAUCAAGCAUAUAGAACCAGCCCGUCUUCAGCACAACCACAAAUUAAGUGAAGGUAGUCUUCAUAUUCUUACUAUCCCCCAACCCCAUUGAAACUCAAGCCUCCCUUCUCCCAACCCCACACCAAAGAGUCAUUUUCCCAUCCAGUCCCAUAGCUUUCAAGAGCUUCUAUACACUGAUGACUCUGAGAUUUAUAUCUUAUUUUAUUGUUUUGUAGAGAUAGGGUCUUAGUCUAUGGCCCAGGAUGGAGUGCAGUGAUGUAAUCAUAGCUUACUUCAGACUCAUAUUCCUGGACUCAAGAGAUCCUCCCGCCUCAGGCUUCCAAGUAGCUAGAACUACAGGUGUGUGGACCAUGCCCAGCUACUUCAAAUUUUUUUUUAAAGACAGGGUCUUGCUAUGUUGGCCAGGCUGGUCUCAAACUCCUAACCUCAAGCCAUUUUCCCACUUUAGCCUCCCAAAGCGCUGGGAUUACAAGCAUGAACCACCAUGUCUGGCCUGAAAUUUACAUUUUUAAUUGCAACUUGUCCCCUUACUUCCAGGCUUGUAUAUCUGAGUGAUUAGGAUCUCCCCUUGGCAGUCUAACAAUGAUUUUAACCUAUCUACAACCAAACCUCUAACUCUCAUCCAUUCUUCUCCUCCCACGGUCCUCUCCACCUUAGUUGUGGGACCACUAAUCACCCAGUCUCAAUCAUCCUUGAUCAUUUUCCAUCUCUCACUCCCAGAGCUAAUUCUUUGGGAAGUCCUGAGAGUUCAACCUUCACCAUAUAUUCUGAACUGGAACCCACAUCAUCCCCUUCAUUACUGCCCUGGUCCAAGCCACCAUUGUCUCCCUCCUGGAUAAUUUCAGCACCCUCCAAAUUGGUCUUCUGGCUUUUCUUACUGCCUUUCACCAUGUUCACUGUCUCUACAGAGGCCAAAAUGAACCUUUGAAAAUUGACAUAAGCUCAUAUCACUCAUCUGCUUAAGCCUCUCUUAAAGCUCACCAUCCCUCCACCAUUUAGCUAUUUUACUGUGGCCUUCAAGGUCCUAAACAACCUUGUCCCAGGCUACCUCUUCAACCACACUAACAUUCUUUCUGCUCACAAUACUUUUGGGUAUUCCUAACGUAUCUACAAGCAAACCUAACUCUCCUCCACUCUUCUCCUCCUAUGGUGCUCCCCAGCACCAACCUCCUUCCCACCUCCUUUGAACUUGCUGCUGGUUCAUUCUUCACUCAAAGGAUGCAGAGAAAGGGGAACUCAUAUACUGUUGGUAGGAAUGUAAAUUAGUACAGGCACUAUGGAGAACAGUAUGGACAUUCCGCAAAAAACUAAAAAUAGAACUACCACAUGACCUAGCAGUCCCACUUCUGGGUAUAUGCCCAAAGGAAAGGAAAUCAGUAUGUCAAAGGGAUAUCUGGACUCCCCUAUCUAUUGCAGCAGUAUUCACAAUAGUCAAGAUAAUAGAAUCUACUUAGCUGUCCAUCAACAGAUGAAGAAAAUGUGGUUUAUAUACACAGUGGAAUACUAUUUAGGCAUAAAACGAACACAAUUCUAUCAUUCACAGAAGCAUGGAUGAGCUCAAAGGACACUAUGUUAAGUGAAAUAAGCCAAGCACAGAAAAAUAAAUACCCC